rnacentral:lncRNA from 7 species
CUUUCUGUGAUCAGACCUUGUGCUGUGCCUACAGGAUCUGCAACCGCCCUGGAAAGUGGAGACUUCAGUUGUGCCAGUGAAGAUGUAACAGGAAUCCAAUCUGUCUUCCAUACUGAGAUGCAUUGAUGCAGACCUUGGCUCUUUCUGCUGUAUUAUAUAUGGGCUUGAAGGAGUUCCUGCUUCAGGCGCAUCCACUCAUCACUUCUGCUGCCUCCUUGCUGUCUACAGGAGGGUGUAUCCACAGAAGCUACCGAAACUACAAAACCUCCGGAGAAUUUGAAAGUUCACCCACACCACCUCCACCCCCUGAAAAGCCAAGCAGCCUUCCUCUUUUCCUUCCAGACACGUCUAGCCAGCAGUGAGCUUUGUACCAUGGAUUUCUGCCAGGCAGAACCGAGCUGCGACCAGCUGUCUGCCUCACAGAGACAUCCCUGGGUCAAUACUCCAUGGGACAGAUCUGAUGCACGUAUGCAAAGAACAGCUUUAAGGGUGAAUUCAGCAGCGGAUGUGCAUCUGUGACACAGCCUUGUCCCCUGCAGACAAGAAGCAGAGCAACCUGCAGGGGAAGCACCAGUGAGACCAGUUUAACAAGGCAGCCAACUUUCCUGCUGGACUCACUGCUGAAAUACUGCCAGUCCUUUGGUCCUCAGCUCCAGCCCCUGCAUCAAGACUGGUGCCCAGAAUACCGUACCAUAAUUCACUUUGUCAAUGUGGAGCCUGCACCUGCAUUUCACAAAUGAUGGCUUUUUUUGAGCUCUCCAGCUGGAUUAAUCUCUUAUUACUUGGACACAUCAUUCUAAUUAAGAAGUAUUUUC